CAAUCUGCACUGCAAAUCCCAACUACUAUGGCUCACCGUCGAUCCUCUGUAUCGUCAGUUACCCGGCGGUUUAUGAUGUGAUCGACUUCUGUUGCUGAAGAAAAUUGGAAGGUAGGAACUCGCCAUUUGUGGAGCUGAGGAUGAAAAAUAAUCAGCAAGCAAAAAUCGAAUAAGGCAAAUGAUGGAAACUUACGUCAAUAACAGAUGGUGUCACAAACUGGGAUUUCAUGGAGACAUUUUUCUUGAAUAGUGGCUCAUCUAACCUUCUUUAAAAUAUUACACACACAGCUCGGGUAUUUCUAAACUGUUUCUCUCAAAUUAUCAUCUGCCAUGUGUCAUUAUUUUAUUGGUUUGAUCAUUUCCCAGUAUGUUCUAGGUGCAUUUAGGGCCUAAAUUUAAUUGAAUAGUAAAGUAAUCUGAGAAUGAUUUGGUUAGCUAAAACCAUAAUGUGGAUUCAAUUAAAGCUGCUGAUGAAUGUGCUGUUUGCCCUUUUUCCAUUAA